rnacentral:lncRNA from 1 species
ACAAAUCUUGACUUCCCGUACGAUCUUCUAUAGCUAGACUUGUAGUAUGCCUUAGAUCUUGGGUCCUCACACACAUUAACUGGAAUCCACAUCCAAACACAGUGACCCACGUCCUUGUGUUGAGAUUAAGCCAGACGAGUAUACAAUUCAGGCUGAAAUUGGAACUCCACAUCGAAGUAUUAGCAUUAAGUGGAAUCUCAGAUCUCGGCUCCCAACACACAUUAACUGGAAUCCACAUCCAUUUGUAAUGACCCACGUCGUCGUGUUCAUCCCCGGGGAUUAAGUCAGACAAGUAUGCAAUACAUGCAUGUGACAUGUCAAGCUGGAAUCAUAUCAUAAUAAAAGAGAAGACCUGAUGACAUCUCACCGAGGACUUGCUUAUUUAUAACUAGUCUUCAAGGUCCUUCUAAUUUACUGCAAACGAAUUAUUAGCAUCUUGAUGAUGCGAUCUGAUCCUUACAUGUGAGGUGGUGACCGAGAUAAACUUUUCAGUAACAUGUUGCGCCCCACCGUAGCUGGUAAAAUAAUUUGGAGAGUGUCAUGAGCGGAAAGGAAUGAUAGUGCAAUCUGCGGGGACGAUCGUCGGUGAAUUUGAUCAAACAUGCACAUGGCACACAUAAAUACGAAACUGAAAUAAUAAUUCAUGGUUAUGCGAUUGAUAGGCUUGCGAAGACUCACCCGCUCACCGGAGAUCCUGUGGGCGACUUAUCUCACCACCCUAAGAAGGAAUAAUCGUCUCUGUUUCCCUUGGGCGUCCUGCUCAACUCGCAUGGAGUUCAGGAAUGAAGGGCCAGGGGGUAGCCGUGGUACAUCCAGAAGGUGCUAAACCAAAGAUAACCUUAAUAAGACCAUUUGUCCUCAGUAAGGCGUAGACAUGACGGUGAAUACUUUUAAAAGAAUCAUUCAAGGAGUAGCAGCACUCAUGUGCUCUUAUUGCAUCCAUGCCAUGUGCAAUAGCUGUACUCAUGUGCUCUUUGGCAUGAUGUAUUAGUUAUCUCGAGCAUGAGCCUACUCAUGUGCUGUUGCCAUUGCCGAUCUGUAGACCAGUAUGAAGUCAGAAUCAUCGUCAUUAUAUAUUCUAAACAGAGAAGUCAAUGGAGAGAUAGCCAAUCAACAAGCUGGGACUAAUCGUAAAGACUUGAAGCAAGACUUGGUACUUGGUAGCUUUCUAUGGAUGCUAUAAAUACCCCUCGCCAAAUCAAACAAGGCAAAAGAAAAGCUGUCCUCUCUCACCCCCCCACCACCACCACCAAUGGCCAAUUUCAAGAUCACUAGUUACGCCGGCGUACUGGUGGAAAACAGCAAGCUUGACUUCCAAAGCUUGUAUUUGCGCAGGAUCAUUUCUGGGGAUAAGAAAAACCAGUAUGUAGUGAUAGAUGGAUUUGGUACUACUGACCUUGGUCUCACAACCAUCAACGACUGGGCAAUAUAUGAUGGUGUGGCCCCUGGCGCAAAGCUAGUCGCUCGUGCAAAAGGCAUGCGUAUGAAUGCUGCUGGCUGGUGCAAUUUAUUCAUCAUAGUGUUCGAGCUUGACAGGUAACUUGUAUGUGUUUUGUCCUGUAAUGUGCUAACAUGUUACAUUUUUUUAGCAUCACAUUGUCUUGGUACAUGUAUAUGAUAUUUGUGAACCACAUAGGUUCAAAGGAUCCACGCUUGAGGUAAUGGGAGCAACUACUGAUGAACAAGGGGAAUGGGCUAUUGUUGGUGGGACUGGUGACUUCACUAUGGCGCGUGGUGUCAUCCAGAGAAAAAUACAUCAAAAAGAAGCUGAUGGAGAUGUAUUAGAGCUUACUAUCGAUGCAUUCUGCCGCAUGAAGGUGAGUGCUUCUACUACUUCCGACACCGCCAACCAGGCGCAGUCCAAGAGGGCGCCAGCUCCUCACAUGUUCCGGGAGAUUGUUGCCGGGGAGAAGGUCACCAAUGUAGCUGCACUGGAAGAUCAGGUUUCCACCGGGAUCUUCUUGACUGGGAAAACAAAGGUUUACUUCUUAUGAACAUGAACCAAACUAUAUGAUAUGGAAAGAUUUACCUUCUGAACAUGGCUUAUGCUUCAAACUUUCUGCAAUGGUGCAGAAGUACUGGGUGGAUGAGAGGACUAGGCACAACUGCUUCAUGCUGUUCCCCAGAGGCCUGGCCAUCACUUGGAGCGAAGAACCCCAAUACUGGACUUGGCAACCCCUGAAAGAAGGAAGGUAGUUAAGAAUCAUAAACAUGUGUAUAUGUAUACAUUAUCACAGUUGUUCAUGAAUCAUAAACAUAUGUAUAUGUAUACACUAUCAGCUAUUUUCAUUUGUUCAUGCAUCUUGCCUCAAGAAUUAUAUCUACUUACCAUGUUCUGAAACUGACAUGUUACCAUCAGUGCUGCCGAAGCUGGAAUCGAGAUGGUGGCGCUGAAGAACGUCUGCUGGUUGGAGGUCCAAGGGAAGCUGGAACUGCCCCAUCUCAC